GUCCCCGUAGUUCAAUGGAUAGAACGAAGGUUUCCUAAACCUUAAAUGCAGGUUCGAUUCCUGCCGGGGACACCA
rnacentral:tRNA from 1 species